rnacentral:rRNA from 1 species
AGAGUUUGAUCCUGGCUCAGAAUGAACGCUGGCGGCGUGCUUAACACAUGUAAGUCGAGCGAGGCCAGGGGGGCAACUCCUGAGUCGAGCGGCGGACGGGUGAGUAACACGUGGGUAACCUACCCGGAAGUGGGGGAAUACCUCGGGGAAACUCGAGCUAAUACCGCAUGACAUCUUCGGGACGAAAGUCCUGACGAUCAAAGCGGGGUCGCAAGAUCUCGCGCUACCGGAUGGGCCCGCGCCCGAUUAGCUAGUUGGUGAGGUAACGGCUCACCAAGGCGACGAUCGGUAACCGGCCUGAGAGGGCGAUCGGUCACACCGGAACUGAGACACGGUCCGGACUCCUACGGGAGGCAGCAGUGGGGAAUCUUGCGCAAUGGGCGAAAGCCUGACGCAGCAACGCCGCGUGGAGGAUGAAGGCCCUUGGGUUGUAAACUCCUGUCGGCUGGGAAGAAAUCGUUCGCGGCUAAUACCCGCGGACGUUGACUGUACCAGCAAAGGAAGCCCCGGCUAACUCUGUGCCAGCAGCCGCGGUAAUACAGAGGGGGCCAGCGUUAUUCGGAAUUAUUGGGCGUAAAGGGCGCGUAGGCGGCCAUGCGUGUCUUCCGUGAAAUCCCUCGGCUCAACCGAGGACGUGCGGAAGAAACUGCAAGGCUCGAGUCCAGAAGAGGGGGGCGGAAUUCCCAGUGUAGCGGUGAAAUGCGUAGAUAUUGGGAGGAACACCGGUGGCGAAGGCGGCCCCCUGGGCUGGUACUGACGCUGAUGCGCGAAAGCGUGGGUAGCAAACGGGAUUAGAUACCCCGGUAGUCCACGCCGUAAACGAUGGGCACUUGGUGUCGCGGGUAUCGACCCCUGCGGUGCCGAAGCUAACGCAUUAAGUGCCCCGCCUGGGGAGUACGGUCGCAAGGCUGAAACUCAAAUGAAUUGACGG